GUGUUUUUAGGUUGGCUCCCUUAAAUGGGAGCCACAGCACACGAAACAGGUUUGGAAAUCAGCUCUGUUCCGUGUGCUGAAUUGUUGACGCAUUCAUUAAUUGGUAUCACAUGAACCCCAUCUUAAUUAAUCGGCUUCAGCGGAAGCUGGGCUACACUUUUCAUC
rfam:Mangrovibacter sp. MFB070 Contig-054, whole genome shotgun sequence.